rnacentral:rRNA from 1 species
GACGAACGCUGGCGGCGUGCUUAACACAUGCAAGUCGAACGAAGUGGCGAACGGGUGAGUAAUGCCUAGGAAUCUGCCUGGUAGUGGGGGAUAACGUCCGGAAACGGGCGCUAAUACCGCAUACUAUCAGAUGAGCCUAGGUCGGAUUAGCUAGUUGGUGGGGUAAAGGCCUACCAAGGCGACGAUCCGUAACUGGUCUGAGAGGAUGAUCAGUCACACUGGAACUGAGACACGGUCCAGACUCCUACGGGAGGCAGCAGUGGGGAAUAUUGGACAAUGGGCGAAAGCCUGAUCCAGCCAUGCCGCGUGUGUGAAGAAGGUCUUCGGAUUGUAAAGCACUUUAAGUUGGGAGGCGUUACCAACAGAAUAAGCACCGGCUAACUUCGUGCCAGCAGCCGCGGUAAUAC